CGUGCCUAAUACAUGCAAGUCGAGCGAACUGAUUAGAAGCUUGCUUCUAUGACGUUAGCGGCGGACGGGUGAGUAACACGUGGGCAACCUGCCUGUAAGACUGGGAUAACUUCGGGAAACCGAAGCUAAUACCGGAUAGGAUCUUCUCCUUCAUGGGAGAUGAUUGAAAGAUGGUUUCGGCUAUCACUUACAGAUGGGCCCGCGUCGCAUUAGCUAGUUGGUGAGGUAACGGCUCACCAAGGCAACGAUGCAUAGCCGACCUGAGAGGGUGAUCGGCCACACUGGGACUGAUGACACGGCCCAGACUCCUACGGGAGGCAGCAGUAGGGAAUCUUCCGCAAUGGACGAAAGUCUGACGGAGCAACGCCGCGUGAGUGAUGAAGGCUUUCGGGUCGUAAAACUCUGUUGUUAGGGAAGAACAAGUACUAGAGUAACUGCUCGUACCUUGACGGUACCUAACCAGAAAGCCACGGCUAACUACGUGCCAGCAGCCGCGGUAAU
rnacentral:rRNA from 1 species